rnacentral:rRNA from 1 species
GGAUUGGGAGGGUUCUACGGAACCCGUUUGGUGAAUCUAGUGCCGAGAAAAGCCUUCUAUGUGUUGAAUUUCUAGUACCCGUACCCCAAACCGACACAGGUGGGUGGGUAGAGCAUACCUAGGGGCGCGUGAUAACUCUCUCUAAGGAACUCGGCAAAAUGGCCCUGUAACUUCGGGAUAAGGGGUGCCUGCGUGAGCAGGCCGCAGUGAAAUGGCUCUGGCGACUGUUUACCAAAAACACAGGUCUCUGCUAAGUCGUAAGACGAUGUAUAGGGGCUGACUCCUGCCCAGUGCCGGAAGGUUAAGGAAGUUGGUUAGCGCAAGCGAAGCUGGCGACCGAAGCCCCGGUGAACGGCGGCCGUAACUAUAACGGUCCUAAGGUAGCGAAAUUCCUUGUCGGGUAAGUUCCGACCCGCACGAAAGGAGUAACGAUCAGAGCGCUGUCUCGGAGAGAGACACGGCGAAAUAGGAUUGUCCGUGAAGAUACGGACUACCUGCACCCGGACAGAAAGACCCUAUGAAGCUUUACUGUAACUUGGAAUUGUGUUCGGACUUUGUCUGCGCAGAAUAGGUGGGAGGCUAUGAAACGUUCCUCGCGGGGAACUGGAGCCAUCGUUGAGAUACCACUCUGGCAGAGUCUGGAUUCUAACCUACGGGGACAGUUCCAGGUGGGCAGUUUGACUGGGGCGGUCGCCUCCUAAAAUGUAACGGAGGCGCGCAAAGGUUCCCUCAGGCUGGUUGGAAAUCAGCCAUAGAGUGUAAAAGCAUAAGGGAGCUUGACUGUGAGACCUACAAGUCGAGCAGGGACGAAAGUCGGCUUUAGUGAUCCGACGGCACUGAGUGGAAGGGCCGUCGCUCAACGGAUAAAAGUUACUCUAGGAUAACAGGCUGAUCUCCCCCAAGAGUUCACAUCGACGGGGAGGUUUGGCACCUCGAUGUCGGCUCGUCGCAACCUGGGGCGGUAGUACGUCCCAAGGGUUGGGCUGUUCGCCCAUUAAAGCGGCACGUGAGCUGGGUUCAGAACGUCGUGAGACAGUUCGGUCCAUAUCCGGUGUAGGCGUAGGAGCAUUGAAAGGAUCUCUCCUUAGUACGAGAGGACCGGGAGGGACGUACCUCUGGUGUACCUGUUAUCGUGCCAACGGUAAACGCAGGGUAGCCAUGUACGGAGUGGAUAACCGCUGAAAGCAUCUAAGUGGGAAGCCCACCUUAAGAUGAGUGCUCCCUUGAGGCCACGGGAAGACGACCCGUUUGGUAGGCGCUAGGUGGAAGUGCAGUAAUGCAUGCAGCCGAGGCGUACUAAUAGGCCGAUGGCUUGUCU